CACUACUAGAAUAGUUUCUUUCUGGUUGCCAGAAAUAUCUUCUCCUUGAUCUACAUGCUCUGGAUUUUGGCUAAGAAUUUUAAUUUGGUGAUUUCUUUCAGGGGAGCCAGCAUACUGUUGGAUGGAAAGGACUCAGGUCAUCAAGCCUACCACUUUUAUUUUAUUUAAUAGAAUUUUAUCUCAGCCCCUCCCUUCCCUCCACACACCAUAGAAAGCAUCACCUGACAAAAAAGAUAUAUAUGUUUCUGCAUCAGUUUUCCUGACUUCCUCUGAGACAUGAGUCAAAUCCUACUUUUUAUGGGAAUUCUUUCCCAGCUCCCUCCUCAUUUCCCAAGUUCCUUUAAAAGAGGACAUGGACGAGGACAAUAUGAGACCAGAAGGCAUGAAUGGACCACAAUGCGCACCUAGGAGAGUAUCCAUUUUGAUGGGAAUAAGGAUCUAUUAAAAUUACUAAGCAUGUUUGAGG
rnacentral:lncRNA from 1 species